CAAACCAAGACUUAUUUGAGACCUUUCAUUCAAUUUUCUCUAGUUACUGAUUUAGUCUAUUUUCAUAAUCUUCUGUGAAUUCUUUCGUAGUAUUAUUUUAUAAUUUAAUCGCUUUGAUUAUCAUGUUUUUGCAUCUAAAUAAUUCAGCCUAAAUUAACUCAACGAGAUCCAUAUACAAUUGUUGCGAACCUCUUUCUCUUCUGAUAAUUUUCCUUGGUUGCAGCAAGGUGUUAUACGACUCAGGCAGUUGUACAACCUCCUAUUUACUGUAGCAAUGAGGAGUCUGCUGAUAUCAACUCAGAAAAUCUAGGAUUCCAAUUGAUGCAAACUGAUUAUGCGUAAAUCACUAAAUUCUCUUAUGAUGGAGUAUUUAGAAAAGGCCAACUUAAUCGUUAUGACAAUAUCAAUUUGAGCCCAUUACUGGAGUGUUGCAAUAUAGAUAAGUAUCGAAACAAAAUAAAAAUUGGGCGGAAAUGUAUCAUAUAAAAAAAACAUACAGAAAUAUUUACCAAUUUUUUGUUUCAAUAGGGGUUGCUUGAAUGUACAAAAUUGUAUAGAAGAGAUGAUGGACAAGUAUUUCUAGUUCGUUUUGAAUAGAACGCAUGGUGCA